GACGGAGGGGGCUAGCGUUGUUCGGAAUGACUGGGCGUAAAGGGCGCGUAGGCGGUUUUUUAAGUGAGGCGUGAAAGCCCUGGGCUUAACCCAGGAGGUGCGUUUCAGACUGGAAAGCUUGAGUACGAGAGAGGAAAGUGGAAUUCCUAGUGUAGAGGUGAAAUUCGUAGAUAUUAGGAAGAACACCAGUGGCGAAGGCGGCUUUCUGGACGGUAACUGACGCUGAGACGCGAAAGCGUGGGGAGCAAACAGGG
rnacentral:rRNA from 1 species